rnacentral:rRNA from 1 species
AUUGAACGCUGGCGGCAGGCCUAACACAUGCAAGUCGGACGGUAGCACAGAGGAGCUUGCUCCUCGGGUGACGAGUGGCGGACGGGUGAGUAAUGUCUGGGGAUCUGCCCGAUAGAGGGGGAUAACCACUGGAAACGGUGGCUAAUACCGCAUAACGUCGCAAGACCAAAGAGGGGGACCUUCGGGCCUCUCACUAUCGGAUGAACCCAGAUGGGAUUAGCUAGUAGGCGGGGUAACGGCCCACCUAGGCGACGAUCCCUAGCUGGUCUGAGAGGAUGACCAGCCACACGGGAACUGAGACACGGUCCAGACUCCUACGGGAGGCAGCAGUGGGGAAUAUUGCACAAUGGGCGCAAGCCUGAUGCAGCCAUGCCGCGUGUAUGAAGAAGGCCUUCGGGUUGUAAAGUACUUUCAGCGGGGAGGAAGACGAUGUGGUUAAUAACCGCGUCGAUUGACGUUACCCGCAGAAGAAGCACCGGCUAACUCCGUGCCAGCCGCCGCGGUAA